GAUUUGAGCACACAAAUGGCGGUUGUAUGAACUGCAACUUUUAAGUUAUUCAAUUACGAACAAUGAAACAUUUUUCUUUUAAGUGAAUUUCUAUUAUAAUAGAAGUUUGUCAAGUACAUCUCAGUGAAGCAGAAAAUCUUCAGGCAAACAUCGACAUCAAAGUGAUACCAUACGGAUGCCAAAAAAAUCCUAUGGAACAAAGAAGCAGAUAAUGAUCACAGAAGUGCAACAAAGAGCCCCAGGACCUGAUCAUCAAAUGUUAUGGUGUAGAUCUAAUCAGGAACAGGACACCUAAGUUGAACUCUGGCAAGGUUGUCCCUUGCAGAAGGUUUGAUACCCAGGCUUCUUUUGUACAAGUCCCUAGUCCACCCUCAUCUUGAGAACUGUUCUGGUGUCUGGGAUCCCUACAACAUCUCAGAUGUCCAGGACGCUACUUCACAAUGGGGACCACAAGUGAACCAGCAGUUUGACUGAGAUGAUCAGCACCUUUAGUUGCCUACUAUAUCUACAACUACAAGGCACUCUGCAAGAAGAUUGGGAAUGGUGCACAAGAUAGUCAAUGGUCUCUCCACUCUCCCUUGAAAAUUUUCCCACUGUACUACUUAUAGCUACUUGCGCCCUCUAUAUAGCAAACAAUGCCUAAUCGGUGCCUGUUGGUCCCCCAUGAUCCUCUUCUUCUUAUAUUAAUUGAGAGCUGAUUUGAUGAGAUAACCACCUGUAAGUGACCUUGCAGGGUGGUCUAAUCCCCCUGACCAAACUAGUACAGAAAAGUUUGUAUUUGCCCAACACUCUGUCCCAUAGUUAAUGGAACUUACUUCCAGCAAAUAUAGUGCAUGCUGACAGUCCAGAGAACUGCCAGGGACUACUUCUGAGGCAUCUACUCUCCUUAUCCCAUUUAUCCCACUUAGAAACAAUCUAUCUUCCUCACACCACUUAUAAUCUUUAGUAUUAAUUCAUCUUCGUGAUAGGCUACAACGCCUUUUGAAGAUUACCAGAAGAAGAAGAAGAAGGUAUAUCGAGGAUCAUGAAAGUAAUAAUUUGUUCUUUUAAAUGCGUGUACAUGUAACAUAGUUGUUUGAUAUUUAAUCUUAAGUCAAGUUCUGACAAAUAUAUGAGGGAUGCUGAACUGGAUAGUAAAUUGAAGGGGGGGGGGGGG
rnacentral:lncRNA from 1 species